AGGUACCCAAACUAUGUUAGGUCCUUUAGGUUAGAACUUGAUGUUCAUUUUUGGAACCCAAAUUUUCUUGGAUUUUAGCUUACUCUUAUCACUCAAUUUGUUAUAGCUAAACUUUCUAAAAUUGCAUUCAUAUGCUUUGUGUCCUAUUUUAUUGCAGCAAUGACAAGUUAUAUUUUCAGUUUUGUUUUUCACAAAUAUAUUCUUUAAGUAUUUUUUGCUUCCUAUUUGUUUUAUAUCCCAACCCAGCUUUAUCAUAUACAACUUUUUGACUAUCAAGAAUCAUAUUUAAUUUAGUUGAGCUAAGUGUAAACUUGUCCACUAAGAAUUUGCAUUUUUUUGCAUCUUCUUUUAGCUUGACAUUUUCAGCAAUUAGACUUUUGGUUUCAUUAGUGAACCUCCUACUUAAUGUUUCAUAGUCAUUAGAUAGUUUCAGCUUUUCUUUGAUAAAAGAUUGAUUUUCAUCUUUUAGAAUUUUAUUUUUAUUGAUUAGCUUCUUGUGUUCUUCCAUGAGUUCUAAAAAUGCAUCAUGUAACUCUUUUACUGUAAAAUCAUAUUCAAGUUCAGAAUCUACCUCAUC
rnacentral:lncRNA from 1 species